rnacentral:antisense_RNA from 1 species
GGGAUUGAAGCUUUCGUUGCCA